rnacentral:rRNA from 1 species
UGGCUCAGAACGAACGCUGGCGGCGCGCUUAACACAUGCAAGUCGCACGAGAAAGUGGAGCAAUCCAUGAGUAAAGUGGCGUACGGGUGAGUAACACGUGGGUGAUCUACCUCUUAGUGGGGAAUAACCCUGGGAAACCGGGGCUAAUACCGCAUAAGCUCGAGAGAGGAAAGCAGCAAUGCGCUGAGAGAGGAGCCCGCGGCCGAUUAGCUAGUUGGCAGGGUAAAAGCCGGCACAAGGCUAAGAUCGGUAGCGGCCUGAGAGGGCACACGGCCACAUUUCCACUGAAACACGAACCAGACUCCUACG